AUACGGAAGGUCCGGGCGUUAUCCGGAUUUAUUGGGUUUAAAGGGAGCGCAGGCGGAGAUGCAAGCGUGACGUCAAAUUUCGGGGCUCAACCCCGUCUCGCGUCGCGAACUGCGUCCCUUGGUUGCGGGAAGGGGAGGCGGAACUCGGGGUGGAGCGGUGAAAUGCAUAGAUAUCACGAAGAACUCCGAUCGCGAAGGCAGCCUUCCGGCCCGUCAACGACGCUCAUGCUCGAAGGUGCGGGUAUCAAACAGGAUUAGAUACCCUGGUAGUCCGCACAGUAAACGAUGGACACCCGCGGUUUGGCCUGUAUGGCUGAGCCGCCAAGCGAAAGCGUUAAGUGUCCCACCUGGGGAGUACGCCGGCAACGGUGAAACUCAAAUGAAUUGGCGGGG
rnacentral:rRNA from 1 species